rnacentral:rRNA from 1 species
GACGAGGGGUCCAAGCGUUGUUCGGAAUCAUUGGGCGUAAAGCGGGUGUAGGUGGCUCUAUAAGUCAGAAGUGAAAGCCCCGAGCUUAACUUGGGAAGUGCUUUUGAUACUGUAGAGCUUGAAUGUGGGAGAGGAUCGUGGAAUUCCCGGUGUAGCGGUGAAAUGCGCAGAUAUCGGGAAGAACACCCGUGGCGAAGGCGGCACUCUGGGACGGUACUGACGCUGAGACGCGAAAGCGUGGGGAGCGAACAGG